rnacentral:rRNA from 1 species
AUUGAACGCUGGCGGCAUGCCUUACACAUGCAAGUCGAACGGCAGCACGGGAGCAAUCCUGGUGGCGAGUGGCGAACGGGUGAGUAAUACAUCGGAACGUGUCCAGUUGUGGGGGAUAGCCCGGCGAAAGCCGGAUUAAUACCGCAUACGACCUACGGGUGAAAGCGGGGGAUCGCAAGACCUCGCGCUAUUGGAGCGGC